rnacentral:rRNA from 1 species
UACGUAGGGGGCAAGCGUUGUUCGGAUUUACUGGGCGUAAAGGGCGCGUAGGCGGUGUGACAAGUCACUUGUGAAAUCUCCGGGCUUAACUCGGAACGGUCAAGUGAUACUGUCGGACUAGAGUACAGAAGGGGCAACUGGAAUUCUCGGUGUAGCGGUGAAAUGCGUAGAUAUCGAGAGGAACACCUGCGGCGAAGGCGGGUUGCUGGGCUGAUACUGACGCUGAGGCGCGAAAGCCAGGG